rnacentral:tRNA from 1 species
GUAGCGGUUAGCACUCAGGACUCUGAAUCCUGCGACCCGAGUUCAAAUCUCGGUGGGACCU